CUAAAACUCAUGUUUGAAGCACACAUAUAGUGGAAUACAAAUGUGCAGAGACAAGGAUCUUUGCUGAAUCUCUCAAUUUUGCUGGCAUAACCUGGAACAGUCUGCUGCGUAACAGCAUGUUUGUUGUUAUGGCUGUUUUUACUUCUGUUUAGAAGGCAACCCAGCUAAGAGCUCCCAUUUGAUAAAGCAUCAGGAAAUGUAUCCCACCCGAGGAGUAAUGCAGUUGGUUGCUGUAAUUCCAUUAUUACAGUUUUUCAUCAUGAACAUUUCAGUGUGCUUCUUAGAAAAGAGCAUGCAAGAUCCCCACAGCGCACAGGCAUCCUUGAGCCAAUGCUGGAUUUUGUCCAUGAGAGCAGAGGGACUUCCACCAACGUUCUGCUCCCUCCUUAUCUUCAAGACUCAUCCUGCUUCAGUACUUCUUAUGCUGCUAGUUCUCCUAAACAACUUUUCGUGCUUCACUGGCGAGUUGGAUCACUUCAGUUGCUGUGACACACCUGAAUGCAGUCACUCACCACGGGAUUAU